UACGUAGGGGGCAAGCGUUGUCCGGAAUUACUGGGCGUAAAGGGCGCGUAGGCGGCUUACCAAGUCAGGCGUGAAAUUCCCGGGCUCAACCUGGGGGCUGCGCUUGAUACUGGUGAGCUUGAAUGCGGGAGAGGAUAGUGGAAUUCCCAGUGUAGAGGUGAAAUUCGUAGAUAUUGGGAAGAACACCGGUGGCGAAGGCGGCUAUCUGGCCCGUAAUUGACGCUGAGGCGCGAAAGCGUGGGGAGCAAACAGG
rnacentral:rRNA from 1 species